AAAAAGUUAUUCUUAAUUUUACACAGACACUCCCAAUACGUAAAUCAGGAGAGGGCCAACAUGCAAUAUAAAACAAAAUUGCGCAUAGAGGAUAUAUGAAGUUUCAGCCACAGAACAAAGAGCAACUUUUGGUCAAAAGAGGAACAUAUGGAGUUAACCAUUUUGACAACAGACAGCUCACAUCAUAGAGUUAUUUGAUACCGACUCCACAGUUCUCACACUAAUUGCAGACGGUGUAACAAUUUGGUAAUGGGCUCCAUCCAAUAGAAGUGUGUGAUUAAAUGUUUUGUCCAGCCAUAAAUAGGGUUAAUGCCAACAAAACUAUGUCCACUAAAUUCAUACCUAGGCAAUAUAUGUCAGAUAAAACUAACUAGGGCAGUUUAAAAAAGAUCAAGACAACUUUAAGAAAAAAGGUCUAUAGACAGUUCUGGCCUUUUUAUCACAAUUCAAAACUUUUUGAAUAAGCUUUUCAAGCUAGUCGAUCUAAAAGUCACGCUGCUGAGGACUUGAAACAUUUGAAUAGAUCUAAAUACUCUUAUUGCAAGUUAUAUUUGAGAAUGCAAAUAUUUACUUCUCAUUUUUUCUUUUUUUCUCUCUCUCGUUUUUUUUUCUCCUCUAAGUGAGACAUUCUUAUGUUAGUUUGAUGCCCAUUCUUCGAGUAAUGUUCUGUAAAAUCACAUUAUGAAUUUACGUUCGUUUAUUUGUGUGUUAUAAUUUGAAGUGAUUGUCUAAAAUUCCAUGAUCGUACAGGAUGUCACAAAUUGUAUACUUGAUGGAUCAGGUAUAGUAAGACACAAUUUGUGAUAUGAUCAAAAUUAUGUGGUUCACAAUCGGUUCAUAAAGUUUGACGCUUUAUGUUGAUAAGAUUGUAUUGUUCUUAUUAAGCUUUGUCUAGAUCUUGAAAUAGGAACAAUAAUGUGUUUCGAUGUACAUUGAACGGGAUCACGUAGAUGACUCAUUUGUCACCAUUUGAAAUGAGACUCUACUUGAUUAUCAAACAGGUCACCUAAAUCUUGAGUGAGUAAUGUACCUUUGAUUGCUAGUUCAAGUUCUUUGAGGUACCAAUGAGUGAAGUCCUAAUUGAAAGAUUGAUCUCGGUACUUUGGGAAUCAGGCCGAAACAAUUAGAGAUCGUAUACUUACAAUAUUGGAAUCCAUUAAUCAUUGAGAUUAGAUGAUCGUCACUCCAAGAUAUUUUUCUAGGCAAAUUGAAUCUGAGCUCAGUAGGUCGACGAUGAGAUCGUUGAACUUUACAUUGUGAUUUGAUCACAACGAAUUUGUCGUAUGAAAAUAAGACUUAGAGGCUAAUACACGUUGAAGGGCAAAACGGUCAUUUUGCCAGUUUCAACAUAUUGGCGUUCAAAUGGGGGUUGACUUGUGGAACGAUAAUCAGAGGAUAUUGUUAUUGGAUCAUAAUUUGCUUCUAUAACUAUCAAUCGACUCGAGAGUGCAAUCUCGAUUUUUUGGUAGAAUAAGCCGAGAUUAAUAGAUGUAUCUUAAUUGGUCAAGAGUUGACCCAAUUGAAAACAUCUAUUGAAGCUUGGGUCAUGUUAUGUGAGUCCAAUUAGGUCCCUCUCUUGACUCCAAUAAAAGGUGUGUGACUUAAUUGGCCUACUACAAUAAAGUCUAAGGAAAUUUGUGCAAUUUCCAAACCCUAAUAGGUCAUUAUAAAUAUGCACUUUAUUAGCAUAUUUUAAUGAGAAUUAGGUUUAGCUACUUUUCACAUUCCCCAAAAGGAAUAACACCUAGUGGAGAACAAGGGAGAAGAUCUAAGGGAGGAAGCAAUUGGCUAGGCCAUUAAUAACUCCUUCAAAAAGGUAAUCAUCUCCCCUUUCUAUAUAUGUGAGGAUUUUAUAAUCCAACGAUCUUAAGGUCAAUUAAAUCCUUAUUUACAUGAUUUUAAUCUUCAAAGGAAAAUUAAUUUCCUACUGUGAUGAUUAAAAUUCAUUAACCAACAAAUGGUAUCAGAGCCAAGGUUAUUGUAUGCUUUGAGUAGGAUUAUUUUUUUUUUAAAA
rnacentral:lncRNA from 1 species